rnacentral:lncRNA from 1 species
GCCGUGGAGGAGAAAAAAAUAAACGAGCUAAAAAAACACAUUCCAUUUCCCGUAAAACCGGGCAAGGGGGCCAUGAGUCACCGUGCAGCAGUCUUAAACGGCCCUGUUCUCAUCAAGCGGCCGCUUUGAAUGUCUCGGCGCGGUGCUUUUAACUUCAGCCGCUCUACUGGCUCCAGUCAAGUGUAGUCGCCGGCCCUCUCUCGCCAUCUGUCCGCUUCCCAUCCCGCGAAAUGUGCAACUGCUACUACGUCUCCGACUAUAGCGCUGGCCUGUGGAGUUUUGAAUUUUCUGUCGUUUUUGUCAACGAUUCAACGAAAUCCCUUGUUUUAUUGGCCCGCUCUGAAGUGCGCUCCCAAGAUAAGUGUCAACUUCACUAGGCAACAUCAUAUAUCAUUUACAAAGGAGACGUAAGUUUGAAGCGCCCAUCGUGUAAGGAUAUGCAAACAAAGUGUACCACUUAGAGGGGCCAGUUACAUUAGACUUCAUUGUUGUCAUAUCGUUUUCUUCACUGCAUUGCAGGCAUUAGUUUAAUGGUGCCAGGAAAAGCAUUACGGUAAACGGAACCUGAAAGGAACUGCCAAAGAAAGACAGUCUUAUGGGAAUACGCUUCAUGAAAAGUAAGGGUGUAAAAGAAGAGAGAGAAAGAAGAGGGAGAAAGAGUGAGAGUGACAAAUCUGCUGCCAAUUUUCUGAAAAAGGAAAGUCACACAUGCUUCACCAUGCCUAGCAGUGACUGUGUGUUUUCUCCCCUCUGUUCGUCAGGGGAUUCAGGGGAAAGUAGACCGAGCUCAGGGGUCUGCACAGCCAGGCACAGAGCAUUUGAUGUGUGACCGAAAAGUGUGUGUCAUGUUUAUUUGGGGGCGUGUGAAUCGUUGAGUCACUGGGGUGCACAGAGGGCCUUUAUGAGUGGAAGUGUCUGUGUGUAUAUGUACUACGUUCUCAUGUUUCCAUGGGACUGAAAUGUUUAUCUAUGUGUGGUUUUUUUAAGUAUGUUAUCCAUCCUGCGUAUAACAGUUGCAAGUGUGACUUUCUUUUUCUGCCAUUGCAGAUUUCAACUGACUGGUAGUCCGCUCUAUAUUUCUGAUAGGUAGCAAUCAAUGCUUAUGAACACAGACUAUGUAUAUUGUGGGUACAAGCUGGUGAACCACUUCUGGUAAAUAAACUGGAAGGAAGGGAAAUCUGUGUUAGUUGUCAUUAGUGUGGCAUAGUGGUUAGAGCAUUGGACCAGUAACCGAAAGGUUGCAAGAUCAAAUCGCCGAGCUGACAAGGUAAAAAUCUGUCGUUCUGCCCCUGAUCAAGGCAGUUAACCCACUGUUCCUAGGCCAUCAUUGAAAAUAAGAAUUUGUUCUUAACUGACUUGCCUAGUUAAAUAAAAUUAAAAAUUAAAAAAAUCAACAGCAGUCGCUGAUAGUAGAGAAAGUUGAUCAUUUUUCAUACUAGCACUGACUUUGCAGAUAAGUACUUUGAGGUAAAAUUGACUUGCUACAACUGUGAUGUGGUUGUCUCACCCAGCUAUCUUAAGAUGAAUGCCCUAAUUGUAAGUGUUUCUGGAUACGAAUGUCUGCUAAAAUGACUCAAAUGUAAAAUGUUAAUCUGUUGGUGCUGAUUUCUGAAGUGUUUUCAAUUGAGGUGUUUUGAUGCAAAAUAUAAUUGAAUGGUAAAAACAUGCUGAAUGUAACCAGUCAUUCAAUGGACCAGGGAAGUGAAUUCACUUAACUCUGCCCUGAGGAAACUUCAUUAAAUCUCCAUCCCAAGCAUGUGAAUCAAGC